GAUCAACGCUGGCGGCGUGCAUAACACAUGCAAGUCGAACGCAGUGGCGAACGGGUGAGUAGCCCGUGAGUAACCUGCCUUACACAAGGGGAUAGCCUUUGGAAACGAAGAAUAAUACCAUAUCGUGUAAGAUGGACUUGCGUCUGAUUAGAUAGUUGCUGAGAUAAAGGACCACCACGGCAACGAUCCGUAGCAGGCUUGAGGGCGUGGACCGCACCAUUGGGACUGAGACACGGCCCAAACUCUACCAGAGGCAGCAGUGCGGAAUGUGGCACAAUGGGGGAAUCCCGGAUGCAGCGACGCCGCGUGAUUUUGAUGGCCUUCAGGUUGUAAAAAUUUUUUUUAUGGGAGGCAGUACCAUAAGAAUAAGGUACGGCUAAAUACGUGCCAGCAGCCGCGGUAAUAC
rnacentral:rRNA from 1 species